GACGAACGCUGGCGGCGUGCUUAACACAUGCAAGUCGAACGGUAAGGCCCUUCGGGGUACACGAGUGGCGAACGGGUGAGUAACACGUGGGUGAUCUGCCCUGCACUUCGGGAUAAGCCUGGGAAACUGGGUCUAAUACCGGAUAGGACUCCGGACUGCAUGGUCUGGGGUGGAAAGCUUUUGCGGUGUGGGAUGGGCCCGCGGCCUAUCAGCUUGUUGGUGGGGUGAUGGCCUACCAAGGCGACGACGGGUAGCCGGCCUGAGAGGGUGACCGGCAACACUGGGACUGAGAUACGGCCCAGACUCCUACGGGAGGCAGCAGUGGGGAAUAUUGCACAAUGGGCGCAAGCCUGAUGCAGCGACGCCGCGUGAGGGAUGACGGCCUUCGGGUUGUAAACCUCUUUCAGCACCGACGAAGCGCAAGUGACGGUAGGUGCAGAAGAAGGACCGGCCAACUACGUGCCAGCCGCCGCAGUAA
rnacentral:rRNA from 1 species